rnacentral:rRNA from 1 species
GAAGCCCGAGUAAACGGCGGCCGUAACUAUAACGGUCCUAAGGUAGCGAAAUUCCUUGUCGGUUAAAUACCGACCUGCAUGAAUGGCGUAACGAGAUGGGAGCUGUCUCAACCAGAGAUUCAGUGAAAUUGUAGUGGAGGUGAAAAUUCCUCCUACCCGCGGCAAGACGGAAAGACCCCGUGGAC